AUUCCAGUUGAUCCUGCUGGAGGUCACUGCUAUUGGGAUUCGAAUGAGACAUGCAAGUUCAUCUAUUAGGUAAUAGUAGAUUGCGUACGGCUGAGGCAACACAUAGAUAACGUAACGUUAUGAGGAGGAUAUCCUCGGGAAACUGAGGUUAAUACUCCAUAGCAAUAAUUUUUGAAAUAAUUUUAUUGUGAAAGGUUAUUUCUAAUACCGAAAUAAUACGCAUAACGAUCGGUCUAUGCCUGAUUAGACUGUUGGUGAGGUAACGGCUCACCAAAUCUUAGAUCAGUAGGGGCCAUGGAAGUGGUUUCCCCCAGAAGGGUACUGAGACAAGGACCCUAGCACUACGGUGUGCAGCAGUCCCGAAAACUCCACAAUGCGCGAAAGCGUGAUGAGGGAAUCCCAAGUGUUCUUUCCGUUUCGGAAGGAACUUUUGCCACGUUUUGAAAUGGCGUGGCGAAUAAGGGCUGGGCAAGCGGGUGCCAGCAGCCGCGGUAAUACCUGCGGCCCGAGUUGUGACCAUUAUUAUUGAGUCUAAAGCGUUCGUAGCUGGUUUGGAUAGUUGGUGCUUAAAUCUUUUCGUUUAACGGAAAGGCACGGUAUAAAUACUUCUAGACUAGAGGCCGGGAGGGGAGAUGGGAACUUUUCGGGUAGGAGUAAAAUCCUUUAAUCCGAAAAAGACCACCAAUAGCGAAGGCACAUCUCCAGAACGGACCUGACGGUGAGGGACGAAGGCUAGGAGAACAAACCGGAUUAGAUACCCGGGUAGCCCUAGCAGUAAACGCUGCUUACUAUACGUUGCAUUUCCUUGAGGAAAUGCAGUGUGACAGCGAAGGCGUUAAGUAAGCCACUUGGGGAGUAUAAUCGCAAGGUCGAAACUUAAAGGAAUUGGCGGGGGAGCACAAAAACGGGUGAAAUUUGCGGUUUAAUUGGAUUCAACUCCGGGAAUCUUACCAGAAGCGACAGCAAUAUGAAGGUCAGUCUGAAGAACUUACCAAAUGCGCUGAAAGGUGUUGCAUGGCCAUCAUCAGUUAGUAUCUUGAGACGUCCCGUUAAGUCGGGUAACUAACAAGACCCUCUUCUAUAUUUGCUAACAUGCAAUCCGUUGCGAAUGAGCAAAAUAUAGAGACUGCUUUCGAAAGAAAGAGGAAGGUGAGGGCGACGGUAGGUCAGUACGACCCUAAUCCUCUGGGCUACACGCGAAUUGCAAUGGUAAAGGCAAUAGGAUGCCACUCCGAAAGGAGGAGCUAAUCCCCGAAUCUUUACCCUAGUUCGAAUCGAGGUCUGUAACUCGGCCUCGUGAAGGCGGAAUCCGUAGUAACCGCGUUUCAACAAAGCGCGGUGAAUACUUUCCUGCUCAUUGCACACACUGCCCGUCAAACCAAACAAGUUGGAUUUAGAUGAGAUUGUCGUUAUGCGAUAACCGAAUCUAGGUUCAGUGAGUAGGGUUAAGUCGCCACAAGGUAGCCGUAUGGGAACAUGCGGCUGGAUCACCUCCU
rnacentral:rRNA from 24 species